CUUGUACUCCCACCGUCCGAAAAUACUUGUCAUUGAAAUGGAUGUAUCUAGAUGUAUUUUAGUUCUAGACACAUCCAUUUUGAUGACAAGUAAUUCCGGAUGGAGGGAGUACUUG
rnacentral:pre_miRNA from 1 species